GGACGUUCCAAAUGGAAGAUAUACAGUCAAACUAAGGUUGAAGAAGCGAGAGUGUGAUUGUAUUGACUCGAUGACUGUGAGGCCAUUUAUCGUGCAAGGUCCAACAACGACCCCUUACCCUACCUCUACACCGUCCACUACAACCGGCUCUCUCACUACAACCAGCUUUCUCACUACAACCGGGUUUCCCACCCUUACAACAGUAACUAUCGGGCCUACUGGGGUCGGACCCUACCCGACUGAUGGUAGCGGUUGUGGGGAGUCUUGCAGGCGUGCUGGUAGCGGGAGUUCUGUUGUUCCUUAUGUGGAGACGGGCGAAGUUCCAAAGAG